GCCAGGCUGGUCUUGAACUCCUGGCCUCAAGUGAUCUGCUUGCCUCGGCCUCCCAAAGUGCUGGGAUUACAGGCGUGAGCCACCGCGUCCAGCCUUUGUUGUUUCUUUAAUGUCAGAAGAAAAACGUGCCUGGGUUCAGGACCGGAAGUGAAGAGGUGGCGUUUAAGCAUUUCAGCCCUGAAGCAGUGUUGUCGCCUGUCGGCCUGAGAGCACGCUGCCUGUAGAUGGCGCUGUGUCCUAACAUACUCGGGAUGCACCUGGAUCAGCCUCGGGGGCACACACUCAGCGAGGCUGUCAAGUGCAAGUGCCGAAACAGAUUAUGGUUCCGAGACUCACAACCCAAACUGUGAAAAGAUGGGCCAACAUCACAGACACCAUUCAGGGAGAGGACAUCAUUUUCAUAGGGAUAAUUGCGCAGUUUUAUGUGAAAUUCACACAUGUCGACACAGUACUUUAAUGGAGCGAUGGAAUUUCUUUCCUUAUUUUCCAUCCAUCCCUUUCCUGCAAAGACCGGACCAUCUCCACUGCAGCUCCGAACCUGUGUCUUGGCCACUGGGAGCAUCACGCCUGGCACUGCCCCCUGCCCAGGACUUCACAGCAACCCUCAUUGGGCAGGAGAUGCACAGUGAGACGAGGUCGCCUGCCUGGAUUACAGCCAUCUGAGAUUGUUCAUGCUGCUGUAACAAAAUACUUUAGACUGGGAAAUUUAUAAACAACCAAAAUGUAUUUCUCACAGUUUUGGAGGCUGUGAGUCCAAGUUCAAAGUGCCAGUAGUUUGGUGUCUGAGGGCCUGUUUCCCAUAGAGGGCACUUUAGUGUCUUGUGUGGUGGACGGGACUGACAAACUCCCUCAAACCUCCCUCACCAGGGCGCCGAGCCCAUUUAGCAGGGCAGAGCUCGGGCCCUAACCACCUGGUGUCCCUCACCAGGGCGCCGAACCCAUUCAGCAGGGCAGAGCUCUCGGGCCCUAACCACCUGGUGUCCCUCACCAGGGCGCCGAGCCCGCUCAGCAGGGCAGAGCUCUCGGGCCCUAACCACCUGGUGGAGGCCCCGCCUGCUAAUUCUAGCACCUUGGUGGUCAGGUUUCAGCAUAGGAAUUUUGGAGGUAUAAACAUUCACAGCCCCCAGGCUGACCACAGAGCACCGGCAUCCAGGCUGCCCUGUGCCCAGGUGCCACACAGUGGGUCUGGUGAGGAGGAGAGCAGCGCUCUGCUUAGGACCCGUCCUGUGAGGAUGAACCAGAGUGAAGUCUGUUCCCUGCAGCCCUCAGCUUCAGCUCACAGGGAAAGCUUCCGCUGAGGGCUGCCUUCUGUAUUUUUCAUUGUAAAAGGUGGCACACCUGGAGAGUCACUUGAUUUUCAACAAGGGUGCCAAGUUCCUCGGAGAAAGUAUCUUUUCACAAAAAAACUGACGCUUGACAGUGCACACCAUGUGCAGAAUUCAGCUUGACUGGAUCAUGUUCCUAAAUGUAAAAGCCUAAAAUUUAAAUUACAUAGAUUCUAAGCCUUAAAAAAUAUGAAUCCUGCACUAAUGCCACUGAAUUAUACACCUAAAAAUAGAAAAAAUGGAAAAUAUUAUGUUUUAUAUUUUGUAACACAAUAAACAAAAGUAGAAAUUUG